AUUGAACGCUGGCGGUAGGCCUAACACAUGCAAGUCGAACGAGUGGCGGACGGGUGAGGAAUACAUCGGAAUCUGCUCUGUCGAGGGGGAUAACGAAGGGAAACUUUCGCUAAUACCGCAUACGAUUGGAUGAGCCCAUGUCGGAUUAGCUAGUUGUUGGGGUAAAGGCCCACCAAGGCGACGAUCCGUAGCUGGUCUGAGAGGAUGAUCAGCCACACUGGAACUGAGACACGGUCCAGACCCCUACGGGAGGCAGCAGUGGGGAAGAUUGGACAAUGGGCGCAAGCCUGAUCCAGCCAUACCGCGUGGGUGAAGAAGGCCUUCGGGUUGUAAAGCCCUUUUGUGGGGAAAGCGGUACCCAAAGAAUAAGCACCGGCUAACUUCGUGCCAGCAGCCGCGGUAAUUC
rnacentral:rRNA from 1 species